CCCGGCAGUUGGAAUUCUGAAGCUUGCCGAAGCUGCACGCCUGCGCAGUUAGACCUCCCACGCCUUUGUUGGCGCUUCCAGUUUGGAACAGCUGCUUCCGGCUCGCUGAGACCCAGCCAUGGAAAGCACAGAAAGGCAUGUGACAAGAAACUCAUGGCUUUUAAUCCUGGCAGGACAAGGAAAACCCCAAGUCAAAGAUACGCAUAUAUUUUGCUACUCUCCUCUUGGGGGGACAGUUCGUCACAUUUAAUAAAACUCUCUCCCCUCCCUCC